CUUAGCCUCUGCCAACUGCCAAGCACGCUGCUUACGUGGAGAGCCGUCCUUGUGGACCAGCAAGCUUUAUGGGCUUCGAUUCGAUUGCGGAGGAGGACUGGAAGGCAGAUCAAGGAUCUCACCGGCGAGCCGACAACCUCCUUUGCCGGAGAAGGAAAGUGCCUCUGUUCUCGGAGAAGGCAAGAUCAGCUCACGAGAGAGAGAGAGAUUUCAGGCGGCCGGCCCACCAGAUUUUCUCUCUACCAUAAUCACUUCCGUCUCCAACUGCAGGGGAACCAGUCGCCGUCCGUUGUGGCGUUAUCACGCCGUGAAGACGAAAGCCAUCUCAUAUAAACCACGAGUGUUCCAGAUUCACCCGCCGCUGAACGAAGAACAACGGAUUCACCCGCUUGAGUUUAUGAGACCAGGCAGCCAUCUCCAUUUUGGAUCCAGUUACUGAUUUACUUACUUUCCCUUUGUCUUGUGGAUGUUAAUGGUUUUGUUUUUGAUUGUUGCUUCUGAGACAGAAGGGGCUUUUGUUCGGACCCAAAUCAAGCAACUAAACCCCCACUACCAGUGAAGGAAAUCUAAUUCUGUUUUCCACUGACCCGCUCCACUUUUAGCAACCCGGCUGCUACGUAGGAGAGAAGAGUCCUAGCUUGUAUGUGACAAGCUAAAAUUGCUAGUGACUUUGUCAAUGCUGUGGAAGAUGAGAAGACUGCCGAGAAGUGGCACAAGAGACUUAGUCACAUAAGUGAGAAGCGACUAAACUGCUUGGCCAAGAAGAAUCUGCUCUCAGGUGUAAAGAGAGCAAGUUUGAAGAAAUGUGUGUAUUGCAUGGUCGGGAAGCAGAAUAGAGUUACCUUCAAUAGUCACUCUCCUUCAAGGCAAUCGGAUUUGUUAGAGUUGGUGCAUUCCAAUGUUUGUGGUCCCUAGAAAGUAAAGUUCUUUGGUGGUGGACUUUAUUUUGUGACGUUUAUUGAUGAUCAUUCAAGGAAACUUUGGGCUUACAUUUUGAAGACCAAAGAUCAAGUGGUUGAUGUUUUCAAGUAAUUUCAUGUAUCUGUUGAGAGGGAAACUGGUAAGAAGUUGAAGUGUAUUCGUACUGACAAUGGUGGCAAAUAUGGUGGUCCUUUUGAUGAGUACUGCAGAAUGAUGCAUUAGACAUCAAAAGAUGCCUCCAAAGACUCCAUAGUUGAACGGUCUGGUUGAAAGGAUGAACCAGACCCUAAUGGAGAGAGUUAGAUGUUUGCUUUUAAAAGCAAAGUUGCCAAAAUCUUUUUUGGGGGAGGCUUUGCUCACAGCAGUACAUGUUGUCAACCUAUCUCCAGUAGUUGCUUUGAAUGGUGAUGUCCCUGAUAGAGUUUGGUAUGAUAGAGAAGUCUCUUAUGAUCAUCUACGAGUUUUCGGAUGUAAGGCUUUUGUUCACAUUCUAAAGGAUGAGAGGUCAAAGCUUGAUGCUAAGACACGACAAUACAUAUUUAUCGGUUAUGGCCUUGAUGAAUUUGGCUACAUGUAUGACCCGAUUGAGAAGAAACUUGUUCGGAGUCGCGAUGUAGUAUUCAUUGAAGAUCAAAUCAUUGAUGAUAUUAAAAAAGCUAAGAAGAAAUUGCCUAGUGGCAGUGAAGGCUUGAUUGAUCUAGAUCCAAUUCCUAUGGUGAACUUGCCCAAUCCAGUUGAAAAUGGUAUUCAAGGUGAUAAUCAGACUGAUGGCCAGCUAAGGGCAGAUGAUGAUGACCCUACAGAUGAGAUUUGUCACUUAAAUCAUUACUCAUUAUUAUUUUUCUAUCACUUGCCAUGAGAUUUGUCUAAGUGUCAUCUUUAAGGCUAAGCUAGAUUAGGCUUCAUCAUGUUAUGCCACUUGUCACUCCAAGAUUAAGCUAUUUAGAUUGAGAUUUGAGUCUCAUGAUAGCCCUUCCAUGUGUUCCAAUCCUAUGGUGUCAAGUGUCAUCUAAAUUAUUCUCUUUGGAGAUUUGGCAUCUUCAUGCUUGCCACUUGUCAUCACCUAAUAAGCCUUCUUUGAUCUUGAGAUUUGCAUCUUAAUCAUUACUUUUUCUCCCUUGCGACACGUGGCCUUAGAGAUUUGGGCCGCCAUCAUUAGUUUUCUCAAAUUUCUUUUUUUUUUGGAAUUACAUAUGCAUCCCGAGACCCUUAAAUUUUCGAAAGACAUUUCAUUUAUUUAACGGCAAUAACUUACAAAAUUUUUAGGUAUUACAAUCUGACUUAACACAAUUCUUUGGGCUCAAUAGCCAUGCAAUUCAAAAUAACACAAUUCUUUGGGCUCAAUAGCCAUGCAAUUCAAAAUAAAAGUGCAAUAUUAACAAUUACAAAAUAAAACCUCACUUCACAAGCCGUUACACAAAACACUCCCCACGAAUCUUUUGGUUGGGAUGUCUCUAUACACCACUAAUCUUGGGCUCUAGCCCUACUGGACUCACCUUUCACUAUUGCCUUUUCCUUGCCUGGAAUGACGUGAGAAAACAAGGUGAGUUACAAGACUCAACAAAUAUAUAUAUAUAUAUAUAUAACAAAUGAAGGUAUAGAUAGACCCAAUAGUGUAUACCCGACUCCCUAAAUACAUAUAAGAGUCACAUUAUGAAUUUCCCUUUAUUGUUAUCAUUUCCAUGCCAUAUUCAUUAUGCAUUUUAUGCAUCACUUCAAUUCUCAUGCAUAUACAUGUAGUAUUGGGAGUUAUAUGCACCACAAUGACUCACUAGGCCUUCACAUUUAUACACAAUAAAAAAUUAAUUAGCCAUUAAUGUGGUUUGAGCAUCACCUACCGGGCUUAUGGCCACCUUAACCUAUGUCUGACACUCUUUAGGAUAUCGUUUCUCACCCUUGGAACUUAGUCGCCGCACAAAAAUAUUAGGUGCGCAAUUAAUAUAAUCAUGUAUCACAUAUACAUAUCCCAAUUUCAUGUCAUUUCUCAAUGAUUAAGAAAAAUCCCACAUCAUGCUUAUCAUGCACAAUUAUAUAAAUUAAGGUGCGCACAAUUUUAUGAUCACACAAUAAAUUUCAAUACAUUUAUUUACUCAUUCACACUUAUAGAAAUGCCCAACCUAUAUUCAUGGUAUAUUUUUACCCCAACAACAACCUCAAAAAGCUAAAAUUUAUACAUGCAAAAAACAUCAAAUCGUGCAUGACCCUAGACCCUAAUUAAGAAAUGCAUUAUUCCUUAAGAAAUAUAGGGUGAAUCAAAACCCUAUUGAGGCUUUCGAAUAAAAUAUAUCAAAUAGGUAUGAAAAUCAGCAAUGUUAACAUCAUCUCAAUCAUAAAAGGAGUCUCCAACACAAAAAGGAUUAAUUAGGCAAAAUUUUAGAAAAUUUUCAGAUUUCGAAGGGUAACUUCAAAGGCCUAUUUUGGACUCGUUUCUCCGUCAAAUUUCAUGAAAAAUAUAUCAAAUCGAAGUCUCAAAUCUCUAGUUUCUGAAAUAGCAAUCGGAUUUGGAAUCGAAAAUAACCACAAGGAGAUAUCCCACAAAAACCGAAACAAGGCAAAACUACUACAGUAAAAUUAUAACAUUCUGGAUAGAAUUCAACAAGGCCGUUAUGGGUUCAAAUCAUAACCAAAAAAUUCAAAUUCUAUACCGAAUCGAAGCCUAUGAUGUCUAGUUUACAGAACAAGAAACAUAUUGCAAAUCAGAUAUAACGACAAAGAGUUAAGCCCCAAAAACUUAAGCAUGACAGAUGCUUCACAGUGUGUUACGAAAUUUUCUAGCAAAGAUUAACAAAGCCACUGCAGGUUCAAUUUGAAGCCAAAUUAUUCAAACCAUAUAUCAAAACGAAGCUUAUUGAGUCUAGUUUACAUAGAAACAAACUGAUCUUGAAUCGAAUAUAAUCACAGAGAGUUAUACCCUAAAAAUCGAAGCAAGGUCAGAUUAUUUGUAAACAGAGCAAAAAAAUUCAGAUUUUAUGCAGUGAUUCAUAGGGCUAUUACAGGCUCAAAACUUAGUUAAAAAAUUCGAUUCUUGUGUCUAAAAUGAAGCUUAUGAUGUCUAGUUUCUGGAUCAAAAAGCGAAUUUCGAUUUGGAUAUAACCACAAGAAGUUAUGGUCCAAGAAGCUACUGUAAAAAAAAAAAAAAAAUUAGAGAAGAGAAGCAAGAAC